rnacentral:lncRNA from 1 species
GGGGGAAUACAGAGAAGCUCCCCACUUACGUUUCUGCUUGGUGGAGCAUGACCGUGUUGGGCUAUCAGAAAUAGUGUUUUUACUUAAGAUACAUUCCUGCAGAAAUCAGAACGGUCAGCAACCAUGAAAACAACAUUAUACAAGCCAAACUUUUGGUAUUUUAGUUAUUUCUAGGUAGUUUCUUCGGUGUCUGUUUAAAACUAAGUAUCCCCCCAUCAAUUCCUGUUCACUUUAUACAAAGACCCUACAAGCCUGUAAAAAGUGAGAUUAUUUCCUCACACACCCUACCAGAGCCACGGGUCUCACCGGGUUUUUUUGCCCCACAUUUCAGCCACAAGCAAAGCUUAAGACAGCCAACAGCUUGAUUUUACGUCCACCUUCAACCAGACGCACAGAUCGGCCCCAGCAGUGAGCAGGACAGAGAACAGCGAGGCUCUAACCCGAACAGCCUGGAAAGCAGCACAGCACCAGGCUCUGCGCUUCCUCCUGUCAUGUCCCUGCAAGGUCGCUCCCGUCUCGCAGAGGCUGCAAGGGGCGCACGGUCACAGCCAGCGCUGUGCCUGUCUGGAUGCUCCGGCUUUCUGCAGCCUUAAAGGACCUAUUGAACUUGAGCUCAAGGGUAGCUCUUUCUAUACUUAAGGAAGAGAGAAGUGUCUGUUUUCUCACCCAGUUUGGAGUGCAAAGAGGUAAGACUGAAAGCUGGACUGAAGCUGCUGGGAGCAGAUGGUGUAUAUCCCUCUUUGUUACUUUUUAGUUCUUGAGGGGAAUAGGGGCAGGGCACCCAGGAUUCACAAUCAAGAAGCCAGAGGCUAAUUUUUGUGG